AACGAACGCUGGCGGCGCGCCUAACACAUGCAAGUCGAACGAGAAUCCGGGGCAACCCGGUAGUAAAGUGGCAAACGGGUGAGGAAUACAUGGGUAACCUACCCUUGAGAAGGGAAUAACCCGCCGAAAGGUGAGCUAAUACCCUAUACGCUAUCUUUUUUUCGAAAAGGAUAGGAAAGCCGGGUCGAGGACCUGGUACUCAAGGAGGGGCUCAUGUCCUAUCAGCUUGUUGGUGGGGUAACGGCCUACCAAGGCUACGACGGGUAGCUGGUCUGAGAGGAUGAUCAGCCACACUGGCACUGAGAUACGGGCCAGACUCCUACGGGAGGCAGCAGUGAGGAAUAUUGCGCAAUGGGCGAAAGCCUGACGCAGCGACGCCGCGUGGGGAUGAAGGUUUUCGGAUUGUAAAGCUCUUUCAGCCGGGAAGAAACGCAUGGGUAAUACCCUGUGUGGAUGACGGUACCGGAAUAAGAAGCACCGGCUAACUACGUG
rnacentral:rRNA from 1 species